GUUAUUUGUUAUUUUCAUUUUAUUUCUUUCAUAUCCUAAUUGUUUUUUACCUUUUGCAUGUUAAAAUCAGCUUUGGGACAUGAGGAUUACACAGAAAGUCGAAGAAACUAGCCUGGAUGCCCUAGAGCCGAUCGGCUUAAUGCAAAGCCAAUUGGCUCUAUCUUAAGCCGAUCAUCUCUGUGCCUAUAGCCAAUUGGCUCGACACCUCUUU
rnacentral:lncRNA from 1 species